ensembl:snRNA U6 U6 spliceosomal RNA
GUGUUCCCUUCAGCAGCACACAUACGAAAGUUGGAACGACGUUCAGAUUAGCAGGGCCCCUACACCAGGAUAGCACGCAGACUCGUGGUGUUCCAUAUUUUU